CGGGGGGAGCAAGCGUUGUUCGGAUUUACUGGGCGUAAAGGGCGCGUAGGCGGCCACCGCAAGUCAGUUGUGAAAUCUCUGGGCUUAACCCAGAAAGGUCAACUGAUACUGCGGGGCUAGAGUGCAGAAGGGGCAACUGGAAUUCUCGGUGUAGCGGUGAAAUGCGUAGAUAUCGAGAGGAACACCUGCGGCGAAGGCGGGUUGCUGGGCUGACACUGACGCUGAUGCGCGAAAGCUAGGGGAGCGAACGGGAUUAGAUACCCCCGGUAGUCCUAGCCUUAAACGAUGAAUGCUUGGUGUCUGGGGUUUUAUAGUCCCCGGGUGCCGUCGCUAACGCUUUAAGCAUUCCGCCUGGGGAGUACGGUCGCAAGACUG
rnacentral:rRNA from 1 species